GUCCUACGGGAGGCAGCAGUGGGGAAUAUUGCACAAUGGGGGGAACCCUGAUGCAGCAACGCCGCGUGAAGGAAGACGGUUUUCGGAUUGUAAACUUCUUUUCUUAGUGAAGAAGCAAGUGACGGUAGCUAAGGAAUAAGCAUCGGCUAACUACGUGCCAGCAGCCGCGGUAAUACGUAGGAUGCGAGCGUUAUCCGGAAUUACUGGGUGUAAAGGGAGCGCAGGCGGGACUGCAAGGUGGAUGUGAAAGACCGCAGCUUAACUGGGGGGGUGCAUCCAAAACUGAAGUUCUUGAGGGGAGUAGG
rnacentral:rRNA from 1 species